CACAUUCAAAACACAAACCCACUUUAAAUUUCCUACACUUAAUCAUUUUCAACCAACUAAGUCACUUGCCAAACCACAUUCAAAACAAAAAAAUCCCCUAUAAAGUCCCUACACUAAACUAUUUUCAAGCAACUAAGUCACCAACCAAACCACAUUCAAAAAAAACAAAACAAAUCCCCUUUAAAGUCCUCACACUUAACCAUUUUCAACCAACUA
rnacentral:lncRNA from 1 species